rnacentral:rRNA from 1 species
CAGUAGCCGCGGGAAUACGUAGGUCCCGAGCGUUAUUCGGAUUUAUUGGGCGUAAAGCGAGCGCAGGCGGUUAGAUAAGUCUGAAGUUAAAGGCUGUGGCUUAACCAUAGUACGCUUUGGAAACUGUUUAACUUGGGUGCAGAAGGGGAGAGUGGAAUUCCAUGUGUAGCGGUGAAAUGCGUAGAUAUAUGGAGGAACACCGGUGGCGAAAGCGGCUCUCUGGUCUGUAACUGACGCUGAGGCUCGAAAGCGUGGGGAGCAAACAGGAUUAGAGACCCUGUAGUCCCUGUCUCUUAUACAC